AGUACCAGGGUGUGGCUGGAAGUAUAAAAGGCUGGCCCUACAGCACAGUUGAAAGACAGCCUGCAGAGACGGACGCUGUGCCUGCUCUCCUGCGUCCCCGAGAGAAACCUGCGUCUGGCUGUUCCCAGUGCCCAGACGCUGAUGAGGACUGCCCUGGAGUACCUGCUGAAGGAGCCGGAAGAAGCCUGGAGGCCGCAGCCAUGAAUUUUCCAUAAUGCAUCACAAUGGUUCUUACUUAGUGUUCAAGACAAAGUCAGGAUUGUCCCCAUUGGUCUGAUAACCUCCUCUGAAGAAAGUGUUAUUCUGCAAAUCACACAUUUCUCUGUGCAUAUUGGACCUAAUCCAAAGCCCACAAAGGUCUCUUAUUAACUUCAGUGGACAGUGGAUCAUGCCCUUGAACACAACUUUGCCACUAUUAAGAACUUUGCUGCAGCAACUGGCUGCCAAGGCUGCUGGAAAGUUUUCAUGUCUAAGAUUCUGCUAAAUCAACUUUCGGAAUAAAGCUUUACAGUUUCUCUGCCCAUAACAAUGGCUAUUCCAGCUAGUAGCUCCUACUUUUUGUACUGUUUGACUGAGAUGAAUGUUUUAUACAGGUCAUCUGCUCUUUUAUAAUAAGUAUUCAUAUUUUUUUAAGACAGCAAGGAUUGUGGACAACAUUUUUACACUGAGCAUGAAAAUGCAAGGGAAGAGAAACGUGACAUCACCUUUAACUCCCUUUGAUUGUUCAGCCCAAAUAAUAUCUUCCAUGCAUCAUAAUCUUGGCAGUGAAACUUGUAAAAACAUUGAGAU